rnacentral:rRNA from 1 species
CCUACGGGUGGCUGCAGUAAGGAAUAUUGGUCAAUGGGCGGGAGCCUGAACCAGCCACGCCGCGUGCAGGAAGAAGGCCCUAUGGGUUGUAAACUGCUUUUAUACGGGAAGAACGGCCGUCUUGCGAGACGGAUUGACGGUACCGUAGGAAUAAGCAUCGGCUAACUCCGUGCCAGCAGCCGCGGUAAUACGGAGGAUGCAAGCGUUAUCCGGAUUCAUUGGGUUUAAAGGGUGCGUAGGCGGGUCCAUAAGUCAGGGGUGAAAUCCGGCAGCUC